GUCAUUGGUCAACUUUUGAUUUGUGGUUCGCGAGGGAUAACAGGUCCUAGAAUUUUUAGAGCUCAAAUCGAAGAAUUCACGCGGCACCUCCAUGUCGGCUCAUCA
rnacentral:rRNA from 1 species